GCGUAACGCGUAAGUAACUUAGUCCCAACGGUAAGGAAGUAACGUACGAGAAAUACGGCGCUAAUACCUCAUAAUGCAGCGGAUCCGCAUGGAUAUGUUGUUAAGGUUUAUCGCCUUGGGAUAGGCUUGCGUCUGAUUAGCUAGUUGGUGUGGUAACGGCACACCAAGGCUACGAUCAGUAACUGGUCUGAGAGGAUGAUCAGUCACACUGGAACUGAGACACGGUCCAGACUCCUACGGGAGGCAGCAGUGAGGAAUAUUGGGCAAUGCUCGAAAGAGUGACCCAGCAACGCCGCGUGGAGGAUGAAGGUAUUCUAUAUCGUAAACUCCUGUGAGAGCAGACGAAAGACAGAUUAUUAAUCUGGAUGACUGUAUGCUCAGAGGAAGCCCCGGCUAACUACGUG
rnacentral:rRNA from 1 species